rnacentral:rRNA from 1 species
CGGGUGAGUAACGCGUGAGGAACCUGCCUCAAAGAGGGGGACAACAGUUGGAAACGACUGCUAAUACCGCAUAAGCCCACGGGUCGGCAUCGACCAGAGGGAAAAGGAGCAAUCCGCUUUGAGAUGGCUCGCGUCCGAUUAGCUAGUUGGUGAGGUAAUGGCCCACCAAGGCGACGAUCGGUAGCCGGACUGAGAGGUUGAACGGCCACAUUGGGACUGAGACACGGCCCAGACUCCUACGGGAGGCAGCAUG